rnacentral:rRNA from 1 species
UACGUAGGGUGCAAGCGUUGUCCGGAAUUAUUGGGCGUAAAAGAGCUUGUAGGCGGUUUGUCGCGUCUGCUGUGAAAUUUCGGGCUCACCCGAACUUGCAGUGGGUACGGGCUAGACUAGAGUGUGGUAGGGGAGACUGGAAUUCCUGGUGUAGCGGUGAAAUGCGCAGAUAUCAGGAGGAACACCUGCGGUGUAGACGGCUUACGUGGACCACCAACUGACGCUGAGGCACGAAAAGCGGUGGGUAGCAAACAGG